AUAUAUAUAUAUAUUAAGCUGGGAGCAAAGACCAUAAAUCAUGCCAUGAUUUAUGCCUUAAAUUAAACCUCCAUUAUGUGUUAAGUGGGAGAUUAGUUAUUCCCGCUAGCAUAUAGUGGAGGUGGGACAUUCUUUGUCUCCAGUUUACUAACAAACUACAACAUAAUCUCUGGAUCCUCCGUGCCUUGCCCACAUGUUUCAGCGGUUGCAGCAAUCUUAAAAUCUUACAGAUCAUCUUGGAGUCCUGCAGCUAUAAACUCUGCAAUAAUGACAACCGGUUAGAUGUUGCAGCACUGAAAAGUUACCAGAAGAAUUUCAAUUCACUAACAAAUAUAUUGCAUAUCUGACUUUUAUUAAUUGAAUUCAUUGUUACAGCUAUAGUCAUGGAUAACACUCGGAAACUGAUUAGGAGAUAUCCAAAUGACACCCAGGCUACACCUUUUGACUUCGGAUCCGGACACAUAAAUCCACUAGCAGCAAUGAACCCAGGACUAAUUUACAGUUUUGAUUCCAAUGACGUCAUUGAUUUUCUCUGCAGUAUUGGUGCAAGCCCUGCACAAAAGAAAAACCUCACAGGACAGACAACUUAUUGCCAAAAUAUAUCCAACUAAACAAUCAUCUGACUUUAACUACCCCUCGAUUGGUGUGUCCAGCAUGAAAGGAAGCAUAUCAGUAUAUAGAACAGUUACGUAUUAUGGUACAGGACCGACUGCUUAUGUUGCGAAGGCUGGUGUUACAGUUACACCUGCCCAACUCAAGUUCACAAAGACAGGCGAAAAUAUGUCUUUCAGGAUAGAUUUUAAGCUCCUGAAGACUAGUGAUGGAAAUUUUGUGUUUGGAGCUCUGACAUGGAGCAAUGGUGUUCACAAGGUUUGGAGUCCGAUUGCUCUUAAAGUGCUUUCAUUGUAGAGACAAGAGUUCUGUGCUGAUAGUAUCAUACCUUUUGAGUUCACCAGGGCAGUGUAUUUGAGAAUUCCUAUCACAGACGAUAGGAUUUAUUGGAACUUAAAAUCAGUUUAAAGAAAAUUCAUUUGUUAAAGGAUCAUGAAAUUCUCCUCUAUGCAUGAAUUUUUCAGAAGUCUCAGACUAUUGAAACUCAUGAAAUUCUCCUCUUUGCAUGAAUUCUAUGAAACAAAUUGUCCAAUAUCGAAGUACUAUUCGUUUUACCAAACUGACUUCAAUUUGUCAAUCCGGUAAUGCCUAAAGCUGCACUUCUUCUAAUCUAAGAAGCUUAAAAUGAAUCUUCUAGGACGUAUCAGUUUUACAUAUUUUCAACCAGAGUUGCAUCAAGCUAGUUCAUGUGCAGUGAAAUUAAAUGAGAAAACUUACUCCUAAUCCUUCCUGGAUAACUUGAGACCUGAAGAGUUCCCAAAACACAGUCAAUAGUACUGUAACUAGAUGUUACCGGAGCUGGUCUGCAAAAUCAUGUAGCAAUCAAAGCAACAACCCCGCUAUCAGUCAGCUAUAUUAUAAUCCCGGCCAUGCCAAUCUCUCCGGUGUGACUUGGAAGUGGCGGAAAUAAUAUUUGUUCAUCGAAGAGUCAGUCACCAUAGCAAGGCCAACAAUUCCGACUGCUUAAAGUUGUAGAAACACCUGCUUAAAUGAAAUCCGUAAUAGGUGGAGAGAAGAUUGUCUGAGGGUAAGAUUCUCCCUUUCAAGGGUAUAGCACGUAGGGUAAGACUCCCUGCUUUUGCAAGGAUAAUACUCUAGACGCUGCCAAGAUUAAAGGGAAGAUUGUGGUCAAGCGCACAACUGAGAUUCUUAUUCGAAGACAAAAGGCUGUAGGAGUACAACUAGGUGGAAGUGAAGGAAUGGUAGUGAUUGAUCCAACUGUCAAAGAAGUUAGCUUUCAAUUUGCAAUUCAGGCUCAAUAAUCGGUGAUGAAGAAGCAGCACAACAGCUUCAGGCAUAUACGCAGACACAAAAGUGAGUCUUUUAGGUUGUUGCCUAAAGAAUUCAUUACUGAAGGAAAGAAAAAGAAACAAAAAGAAAGCCUCAAGGUGACAUUACCGAAAUGAAAACUGCUAAACACUUCUCUGACUACUGGAAACCAAUAGCAAGAAUUGCUCCAACAGUAAAAUGUUUUGAACCCAAAAUCUGCACAAGAAGACCAAGGACCAAAUGCUAUUACUCGGACACUAUCAAGUUAAUCUAUAAAUCAUGUUUGAUUCUUGAAGUUGAUGACAGAACAAGGUAGAAAAGAAAGAAAUGAAAUGUUUAAAGUGUGAUUUGGUCUACCAAUUCGAAUUCUAAUAGUAAUCUGCAGCAAGAUAUUACAGCACCUUGUCUGAAUAUUUUGGCAGCUUGGUCCCGGCCCGGUAUCAACUGAGGCACUGGUGGGCGAUCCAUCAACUACAACAUAAUCUCUGGAACCUCGAUGUCCUGCCCGCAUCUUUCAGCAGUUGCAGCAAUCUUGAAAUCUUACAGAAAAUAUUGGAUUCCUGCAGCAAUAAUGACAAACAGAUCAGAUGUUUCAACUUUCAACACUGAGAAGUCAUCAGAAAAAAAUGCCUAUUCAUUGACAUAAAAAAUUGCACAUCUUUCUCAAUGUCUUGUUACAGCCAUAAUCAUUCAAACCAUUCUUUCUUUCUUAAACCCUAAAUAAUUAUUACCAAAUCCUACAUGUGCAUAUAAUCACAUUGUUAAUCACGUGCCCCCCACACCUCACCCUUCCCUACCC
rnacentral:lncRNA from 1 species